GAUGAAGAACGCAGCGAAAUGCGAUAAGUAAUGUGAAUUGCAGAAUUCAGUGAAUCAUCGAAUCUUUGAACGCACAUUGCGCCCGCCAGUAUUCUGGCGGGCAUGCCUGUUCGAGCGUCAUUUCAACCAUCAAGCCCCAGGCUUGUGUUGGGGACCUGCGGCUGCCGCAGGCCCUGAAAACCAGUGGCGGGCUCGCUGUCACACCGGGCGUAGUAGAUUUUAUCUCGCUCAGGGCGUGCUGCGGGUUCCGGCCGUUAAAAAGCCUUUUUUACCCAAGGUUGACCUCGGGUCAGGUAGGAAUACCCGCUGAACUUAAGCAUAUCAAUAAGCGGAGGA
rnacentral:misc_RNA from 1 species